CCUACGGGUGGCAGCAGUGGGGAAUAUCGCACAAUGGGCGCAAGCCUGAUGCAGCCAUGCCGCGUGUGUGAAGAACGCCUUCGGGUUGUAAAGCACUUUCAGCGGGGAGGAAGGCGGUGAGGUUAAUAACCUCAUCGAUUGACGUUACCCGCAGAAGAAGCACCGGCUAACUCCGUGCCAGCAGCCGCGGUAAUACGGAGGGUGCAAGCGUUAAUCGGAAUUACUGGGCGUAAAGCGCACGCAGGCGGUCUGUCAAGUCGGAUGUGAAAUCCCCGGGCUCAACCUGGGAACUGCAUUCGAAACUGGCAGUCUAGAGUCUUGUAGAGGGGGGUAGAAUUCCAGGUGUAGCGGUGAAAUGCGUAGAGAUCUGGAGGAAUACCGGUGGCGAAGGCGGCCCCCUGGACAAAGACUGACGCUCAGGUGCGAAAGCGUGGGGAGCAAACAGGAUUAGAUACCCCAGUAGUC
rnacentral:rRNA from 1 species